rnacentral:rRNA from 1 species
GGGGGGGGGGCGGGGGGGGGGGGGGGGGGGGGGGGGGGGGGGGGGGGGGGUGCUCUGGGUCCAAAAGGUUUUAAAUUGCUGUGGUAUUUUGACUAUACAAAGGUAUUGAAAUAAGAUUUUAAUUGAAUGCUAAGAGAAUGGAAUAUCAAAAAACAACUUUCUUAAAAUUAAAAAUUGAAAUUUUUUUAAUUUGUGUAAAAACAAUUAUAAAAAUUAAAGACAAGAAGACCCUAAGAAUUUUUAAAAUUUAAAUAAUACAUUUUUUGUUUUAAUUAAAUUUUAACUGGGGCGGUUAAAAAAUAUUAAAAACUUUUUAAUUUAAAAAUGACCCAUUAUUAAUGAAAAUAUGAUUAAAUACUCUAGGGAUAACAGCGUUAUAUUUUUUGAUAGAUCAUAUUGACAAAAAAGUUUGCGACCUCGGAUGUUGGAAUUAGGAUACUUUUUUAAAUGAAGAUAUAAAAUAAGAAGUUG